CCUACGGGAGGCAGCAGUGAGGAAUAUUGGUCAAUGGGCGAGAGCCUGAACCAGCCAAGUCGCGUGAGGGAGUACUGCCCUAUGGGUUGUAAACCUCUUUUGUCGGGGAGCAAAAGCCGGACGUGUCCGGCUGUGAGAGUACCCGAAGAAAAAGCAUCGGCUAACUCCGUGCCAGCAGCCGCGGUAAUACGGAGGAUGCGAGCGUUAUCCGGAUUUAUUGGGUUUAAAGGGGGCGCAGGCGGUCCUGCAAGUCUGGAGUGAAACGCAUGAGCUCAACUCAUGCAUGGCUUUGGAAACUGGAGGACUGGAGAGCAGGAGAGGGCGGUGGAACGCCAUGUGUAGCGGUAAAAUGCGUAGAUAUAUGGAAGAACACCAGUGGCGAAGGCGGCCGCCUGGCCUGUUGCUGACGCUGAGGCACGAAAGCGUGGGGAGCAAAUAGGAUUAGAUACCCGGGUAGUC
rnacentral:rRNA from 1 species